rnacentral:rRNA from 1 species
UGGGGAAUAUUGCACAAUGGGUGCAAGCCUGAUGCAGCCAUGCCGCGUGUGUGAAGAAGGCCUUCGGGUUGUAAAGCACUUUCAGCGAGGAGGAAGGGUUCAGUGUUAAUAGCACUGUUCAUUGACGUUACUCGCAGAAGAAGCACCGGCUAACUCCGUGCCAGCAGCCGCGGUAAUACGGAGGGUGCAAGCGUUAAUCGGAAUUACUGGGCGUAAAGCGCACGCAGGCGGUUUGUUAAGUCAGAUGUGAAAUCCCCGCGCUUAACGUGGGAACUGCAUUUGAAACUGGCAAGCUAGAGUCUUGUAGAGGGGGGUAGAAUUCCAGGUGUAGCGGUGAAAUGCGUAGAGAUCUGGAGGAAUACCGGUGGCGAAGGCGGCCCCCUGGACAAAGACUGACGCUCAGGUGCGAAAGCGUGGGGAG